UUGGUACUUGUGCGAAUGCAGAAGUAUUAUUUUGAUAGCCAUUCAUAAAAAGUAACGAGAGAAUAAAAGAGUCUGUUUUACAAGGACUAAGCGGUACUAAAAAAUCCUUAUCGAGUACGCUGCUUCUUCCAGCAGCUCAUUGGCCUCGCCUGGUUCCUCCCCUUCCGCCUGAGGGGGUUCAGCUAGAACCUUCACAGAGUGAUCCGGUGCAGCUUGGGGCUCCACAGCGUCAUGUGGCAAAUGGACAUCCGUCGGGUCUAUGAUCUCAUUGUUAUACGCCUCCUCACCAAGGGCAUUUUCUUCAGGCUCCCCCACACCCGGGAAUGUUCCGGGGGUGAAAGCCUGGUUCUCGGGGCUCGGCUCCACGGAGGCCCCCCCAGCGUCCUGCGGCUCUGGGGCGGAGAUCACCAGCACUUCUAGGAGAGGGGUUUGGCUCAAGGGCAUCCUCCUCCCGUACUGCUUCCUCAUCUGCUUUCACUUCUCCUGCUACUUCCACCUGCCCCCAAGCUGCCUCCACCACCCUCUCCAGCAGCACCUUCAGCACUUCCUCCGCCCCACGGGUCUCCACCUGCUCUGAGGCCUCCUGCACGGCCUGCUGUACUUCCUUCAGGCUGGGGGGGGCCACCGCAGGUACCACCUCUGCAGGGGGCUCUGGUUCUUGGAGGACGGUUGGCCCAUCAUGCAAGGGCACCACUGUGGAGGACUGGAUGGAGGUAGAGUGACCUGUGGGGAUGGUAUAGAAUAUUUAUUGUAUGUGAUCAUUGAUACCAAUGAAGAGGUCAUGUUGACAACCAGUCCAAGGAUAAUAUCUAUGAUUAUCAUUACUUUAUUUACAGACAUAUUAGUUGAAGGUCAUUAGCACGAUGUGUGUGGGGGGAAUUCUAUUGGAAAUUAUGAAGUAAAUGUGCCGUUUGAAUUCAGUCUG
ensembl:lncRNA